UACGUAGGGUCCGAGCGUUGUCCGGAGUUAUUGGGCGUAAAGCGCGCGCAGGCGGCUUGGCGCGCCCGACGUGAAAGCCCCCGGCUUAACCGGGGAGGGUCGUCGGGUACGGUCAGGCUUGAGGGCGGGAGAGGGUGGUGGAAUUCCCGGUGUAGUGGUGAAAUGCGUAGAGAUCGGGAGGAACACCUGUGGCGAAGGCGGCCACCUGGGCCGACCCUGACGCUGAGGCGCGAAGGCGUGGGGAGCGAACAGG
rnacentral:rRNA from 1 species